UACGUAGGUGGCAAGCGUUGUCCGGAUUUACUGGGCGUAAAGAGCGCGCAGGCGGUCGAAUAAGUCGAAUGUGAAAGCCCCCGGCUCAACUGGGGAGGGUCAUUCGAUACUGCUCGACUUGAAGGCAGGAGAGGGUAGUGGAAUUCCCGGUGUAGUGGUGAAAUGCGUAGAUAUCGGGAGGAACACCAGUGGCGAAGGCGACUACCUGGCCUGUUCUUGACGCUGAGGCGCGAAAGCCAGGGGAGCGAACGGG
rnacentral:rRNA from 1 species